GGCAUUGGCAGGAACCCGCUCCCUCCGCGGCUCUGGGCAGUGACAGCUCAGUCCCAGGUUCCCAAAGGGGUGCCAGGGAGAGAGCCCGUGUCCAGUUACAACUCAUCCUGUUUGGCCCCAAUUGAGCCGUGUGUUCUGCAGACCCAGCGGGUAUGUAAGAGGUGCCCGACCCACUCAGCACAGGGAACCUGUGUGUGGCCAGGAGCCACGCGUGUUCCCUACAAGAUUCAUGCAGAUUCUUCUCCCAUAAGGUAAUUACAGAGCAGUAAGCAGAGCUCCUGGUGCUACAUGGCAGGUCCUCAUCUACGUGGUUGGUAAACACCAAGUGGGACGUGCUGACUGACUGCCUGGGAAACGGACUCCGACACAAAAUGUGCAGGCCAAUGUUCCCCCUUCUGUGGGUGCAGUCCCAUGCUGAUGUCACCCCAGCGCCUGGCAGGAGCUUCCAAGACCUCUGCCUUCAAGAGCCCCGUGUA